UAAGCAGUGAUGAGCAGCUAACAUGUAAGAAAAACUCAUGUAGGAAGUGGGAUUUUCAAUGAAAUACUCUUAGGCUUGGCUUCUGAGAUUU